rnacentral:lncRNA from 1 species
GGGCACGAGGGGGGUGGGGGAAGGGAGCGCUCCUGUGGCGGGAAAGUCGCCUCCUUGUUAGCUGGUGUCCCUGCUAGCUAGCAGCCGCGUGACAAUCUGCCGCCUUUGGAGGCGCGUCACCUUGCGGCGGUUUUCGUGCCCAAACACGUUUCAAGCAAUUAGAUGUCUAGUAUGUCCCUAAUCGUAAACAAGAAAUAAAAGAAUCAUAACGUGGGGUAAACGGAAGAUCCUAGCAGGCAGCUUCUGUUAUAAGGGAAGUUUAUCCUUUUCUGUUACUUUCCCCUAAGUCUUCUGAGGAUGGUUUCUGUGUGGUAUUGAUAAUCUGGACCAACCCUACUGGUGCUACUUUAUUUACCUCUGUACUUGUGAGGAUCCUUUCCUUACUCUGAUGAGGACAAAAGGCAGACAGGUCAAAAUGGAGCCAACACCCCCCCAAGGUGGGAUUCUUAAGACCAUGAAAGUUUCAAAGAAGUAAAUACAGUCCCACUGACACUGUAAGACUUGGGUGGAGCCAUGGGGCAGAAUCAUGAAAGGACAAAGUGAUGCAGAGAAACCAACAAUGGAGUGAGUCCAGCUGAACCGGAAACCAUCUGUUACAUAGACCUCCUGGAGAAGAGAAGACCUGGAAGUCCCAAGUUCAGGUCAUCCUUCAAGUCCUCCCAGACCAACAGGCCUGCAGACCAUCAUAUCCUACUCUGGAUUAGCUUCAAAGCAGACACCAAGAGGGCACAUAUCUCCAGCAUGUGGUUGAAGGCAACAUUCUCCUGAGAAUUUCCUCAAAUGUGUGAACCCUUUGGGAAGUGGCAUGUUGAAACACAAAGCCACUGAAUUCACAGGGAGCUGAUGUACAUGUGAGUCCUGGCGACUGGCUACCUUUGGCAUUGUCAUAUCCGUGGGAAAAGACCUCAGAUUGUCCCAGCCUCAGUUUCUUCAUCCAUUGUGAGGAUGAUGUGUAAAAAUAUUAAGUAAACUUUGAACUUCUACCAAGUAUUUGCUAUUGCCAACAUUUUGUUGGGCAUCGGACGGCUUAUUUAAACUGGAUAGAUAAGAACGAUGAGUGAUAG